UACGUAGGGUGCGAGCGUUGUCCGGAAUUAUUGGGCGUAAAGAGCUUGUAGGCGGUUUGUCGCGUCUGCUGUGAAAAUCCGGGGCUCAACCCCGGACUUGCAGUGGGUACGGGCAGACUAGAGUGUGGUAGGGGAGACUGGAAUUCCUGGUGUAGCGGUCGGAAUGCGCAAGAUAUCAGGAGGAACACCGAUGGCGAAGGCAGAUCUCUGGGCCGUAACUGACGCU
rnacentral:rRNA from 1 species